GGGAAUGGAAGACCAGUUGCACCUUCUAUGCCGUACCCUAGGAUGUAUGUUGAAACUGAUAUGGAGACCCAGAUUCACCAAACUAGAGCAAGAAGCUUACAGUUCAGUUCUAAGAGCCUUUAAAGCUCAAGCUGAUGCCAUUACUUGGGAGAAAGAAAGUUUGAUAACAGAGCUUAGAAAGGAGUUGAGAUUAUCUAAUGAGGAGCAUAGAGAGCUUCUUGGCCAGGUUAAUGCAGAUGAUAUGAUAAGGAGAAUAAGGGAGUGGAGACAGACUGGUGGGCUUCAAUCCGGCAUGCUUGGUACCGGUCAAGCUGUUCAUGACCCAAUACCUAGCCCUACUGUCUCUGUAUCUCGCAAGAAAACAGAAGAUUACUUCAUCAGUACCUUCUCAAUCCUUUGGUGGACCAUCUCCUUCGUUUCACCCACAAGCUGUUUCUGCUUCACACCAGCCAUCUUCAUCAACUGCUAAACGAGGACCUGUCUCAGGAUCAAAGAGCAAGAAGCAAAAACCUGUUUUACCUGGUGCUUCAUCAAUUAAGUCCAUUCCAUACCCAUCCUCAGGUCCAUCGGGAAGGGGUCAAGUAGCAAAUAGGGUUUCUUCUGGUGCUGCUCCUGAAGGGGCUACACGAGAAUCAUUAAUUGGGAAGAGAGUCAAGACUAGGUGGCCUGAUGAUAAUAACUUUU
rnacentral:misc_RNA from 1 species